rfam:Lepisosteus oculatus linkage group LG6, whole genome shotgun sequence.
AUAUAACUUCGCCAGCAUAUAUACUAAAAUUGGAAAGAUACACAGAAGAUUAGUAUGGCCUUUUAGCAAGGAUGACAUGGAACUUUGUGAAGGUUCUUGGUCUGGAACAUAUAUUC